UGAAUAUGAAAGGCUUCAUUUAGGAGCUGAAGAGCUGCUGUGUUCUCUCUAUUGUUCAUUCAGUCCAAGAGAAAAUCAUGUUGCUGCUUUUCAUUUGGAUGAUGAUCGUCUCCUUUCAGACUGGAUCCUCUGAGGAUUUACUGACACCAUCUAAAGAUGUAGUGAUGAGUUUGGAAGGAGACACUGUGACUCUCUCCUGCAAAUAUUCAGGCUCUGAAACUUACUUCUUCUGGUACAAACAGAAACCUAAUUCACAUCCAGAGUUUCUCAUCGCCUACUAUUCAGGGAAAACAGAAAGGAUGAAGUUUAUACAUGACGAUCAAAAAAAGGAGUUUCAUCUGGAGAUCUCCUCUGCUGCAGUGUCUGACUCUGCUGUGUACUACUGUGCUCUGCAGCCCACAGUGACAGGAAACAGCAAAACUCUGUACAAAAACCUUUGGAGCAAAGACAACAGAAUACUCCACAACAUCCACUAGAGGGAGCCACACACUGUUAAACUGCUCUGUAGACUCUUUGAGAGAAUG